CUCCUGCUGUCCUCCGUGUUUCACUACCCGAGCGCUUCGGGUCGAUCACAGGCCUUAAUUUGUGAAAGGUUGAGUUAAGACUUUAAGACCCGCAGAAACCCUGAAGAUUCCUCAUUAAUUGCUCAAGGAUGAAGAUUGCUUUGCUGGUUUUGGUUCUUCUGGCGUUCGGACACUCGCUGCCUAUGCAGCGGAGGAGAGUAACAAGAUCAGAGAGUUCAGAAGACAACGGGAACGACUGCGAGAAGAAAGCAGAGGAGGAAGAGGAAGAAGGAAAUGGAGAUGAGGAAGAAGGAAAUGAAGAUGAGGAUGAGG